rnacentral:RNase_P_RNA from 3 species
GCGGAAGGCCGGGCGGCCGCUCCUUCGGGAGAGGAAAGUCCGGACUCGCCGAAGCACCGGUGCCGGGUAACGCCCGGGCAGGGCAACCUGACGGAAAGCGCCACAGAAAACAGACCGCCCGGCGCCCUGGCGUCGGGUCAGGGUGAAACGGUGGGGUAAGAGCCCACCGGGGGGCUGGCAACAGCGCCCGCAUGGCAAGCCCCACCGGGAGCAAUGCCAAAUAGGGACCCCGUGCCGUGCGCGGCAGGGCGGCUUCGGCCCGAGGGGUCCGGGUUGGCAGCUUGAACCGCGCGGGCAACCGCCGGUCCAGAGGAAUGGUCGUCUGAGGGCGGGCAACCGUCCGAUAACAGAAUCCGGCUUACAGGCCUUCCGCGCAU